UAAUAAGUGUUUUAUGGCACUUUUUUAAAUCCAUAUCCACCUUGUGUGCAAUGUCAGUCGGUAUCUUUUCGUCAAUGGAAAAAAGGAUUCGACCAAACAUCAACCUUAUUCUAAUUUAACACUUUUGUCUGAAAAAUAUUAUGAAUAAACUAAUUCAAAAUA
rnacentral:misc_RNA from 1 species